GCACCUUCAUUGUUUCUUCCUUAAUCUGGCCCACUAGUCACAAAUGGGGCCUGUUCUUAUGACCUGGCUAGGCAGGAGACAACAUUUGCCAGUAUUGCUGAUAUACUAUCCUGCUACUAUCUGGCUAAGCACAAGGUAUCUGUUGCCAGAAUCCCAACUAUGCAAGCCAAGAAAUUCACCAUUUACAGUAAACAUUCUAUCCCACAACCAGGUAACAUGAACUUGCCUUUAGGGUCCCAUGCUGCCUAGCCCAGAUCAUAUCAACAGACCCUUAGCAGAUCCUGAAACUACAAUCGGAACAUUUUAGGCCAUAAUCUUGUAGAAUCAACCAGGUAUUGUCAGUAGUAUAAUAUCACACUGGGCAAGCUGGUCUUGCCCAUUUAUAUGGGCUAAAUAUACACCUGCCCAUGGUAAGAUACUGCCUCGUAUAUUAAUUUUAUAUAUGUUUGAGAUUGCAUUCACAUGAAACA